CAGCACUUCUGAACACCUAAAGCGAGGGGUAGAACUGGAGCACAGAUCUCUUUACAGUGUUAUUGUUUCUGCCAUUCUGUAGUCAGAAUCCCACUUAAAAAUACGCAGUAUCUUCAGCUGCUUUGAGGUUUGAAGGUAGAAUAGCAUCAAGGCUGUGAGAGCGUCUCUGUAACUGGGUGACAGCUAUUCAGCUCCAGCUCAAUCCUCUGACAAAUGUGAGGUUCUUCACUGUUCAGUCUGCAAAGGAGCUUCUCCCCUGCCUUGCAGGCUGCAUUGGUAACUUGAAAUGCCUUCAGUUACGUGUGAGCUCUUGUUUUUGUGCUGCCAGUGCAGGAAGCCUCGCUACAGAAGCGUUGCCACUGACCCUCGUGUGAACCUGGCUUCUUCCUGUGCCUUGGGGUGGGCAGAGCUCUGCAGGGAGGGAAGGCAGGAGGCUGCGGGCAGCAACAUGGGCUGGAGGGGUGAGUUCAGGGGUCUGGGAUGGGACCCAGCAUUGAGCCCUAGCACUGCUCCCGAACCACCGCGCUUUGGCCCUUCAGUGAUUGCUCCAGUGCUUGGCAUCCUCGCCCCAAAGCGAAGGUGUGCGGGUAUAAAUAACCUGAAGAAAGGACUGGGUGAUGGUGUUGUGUAGGAUCCCCUGCUGUUGCCAUCUUUUCCCCAGAGGUUGGCAUAGGGGAUGCGGGCAGCAGAGUGAUCCGGGCCCUCUGCCCUCAGUGAGUGACUGAGUGUUUUUGUGCCUUCAGAGCAGCACUGGGUAAAGCUGCUGUGCUGCCUGUGGGCACAAAAGAGUUUUGACACACUCUGGUAAUGCUGAGAUGAAUAACUUCUUAAAUAUGCCAACAAAACGAGUUACUCAGUAGAUCCAAGGCAGUUGAUGCCGUGAUUUAAUUCUAGGCAGAAAGACAGUGCCUUAGGUGGAAGGAUGUUCUAUUUCAAGGUAUUAAACAGCUUUAAUAUACGUUGACAUUCAGCACCACAUUUGUAAUCCCUGUAAUUACUCCUAUCUGCUCGAUGGAGAGCCGGCACGGUGCCGCUCAGCACUGAGGGACAGUUUUGUUUCGUGCCUGAAAGAAAGAAGACGUUGCAUAAAGCACACUCUGUGCUGAAGCUGUGGGGAAAGAGGUGACUGGAGAACAAAACAGGAGCUGUAAGAGCUGCCCUGUCUGGUACGCUUCCUCUCCAUCCGUCUCCGCAGGCAGCUUUGAAUGAACGAAGAAGCUGAGCAAAACGAGACACAAAGAGGAGAGCUCUGCUGCUGGGAGCCCCAGCAGACUGCAGCGUGGGCAGCCCCUUCCCGUUGGGCUUUGUGCUGUGUCUGCUUCCUGGGGGCUCUGAGCACCGGGCUGUGCCGUGGGAACCCACAGGGAAUCAGUGUGGGGGGUGGCUGCGGGCGGCGCCCUGGCUGCGUUCUGAGAUGGUUUCCUUGUCACUUCCUUGAGUUUUCUUGACGGAAGACAAAUUCUACCAACAACCGUACAUCCUUAUCGCUUCUGGAAGUUGUUAAACAAAAUCUCCGUCCAGAAAAGAAAAUAACAAAAAGAACAGAAGGGGAGGAGAGGGAAAGGGGGCUGAAACCGGCAAAUACAGGGCCGUGUUUUCCAGGAGGUUGACAUUGCCACCCAGUGGUCGCUCAGCGCAGUGGUACAGCGAUGCACGUCCAAAGGCUGAAGCGUGGCACUCACGUGUAAGACCAUUGCCCCUUGUCUUAUCACUAUCCACCGUCAUAAGCAGUUGUUACCCCCUCUUGUUUAUACACUCCCUUCAAGUACUGGAAGGUUGCAAUGAGGUCUCCUCGGAGCCUUCUCUUCUCCAAGCUAAACAAGCCCCAUUCCCUCAGCCAUUCUUCAUAGGAGAGGGGCUCCAGCUCUCUGAUCAUCUUAGCGGCCCUCCUAAUAUAUGACAGAAGGGAAAUGCUGGUUAGCUACUUAAUAAAAUUGACAAAUUUUAACUUUUUAUAUGCUACUGCAUUACGUUUAUGGGAUUACAGUUUUGCUGUCAUCCUACUUAGCAUUAAUGACGGCAAUUACAGAGCUUACAGGGAAGGAAACCUGUCCAAGGUGCACUGAGUGUGCUGUAUGUGGAAGGCCGCUCUGCUGUCUGUCCUUUCCUGGUGCCCACCACUGUGAAUAGGUGUGUGCAGACGUGUGGCCAUGUAGCUUGCUUUGGUUGGCUCCAUGGAUGCCACACAUAAAUGUGAUAUUUUGUGGCGACAGGAAAACUAUUAUUAGUCCAGUGUGUCAGACUGCACGCUGGAGGCAGUGUGUUUGAUGAGCUUAAUUCCCUGCUGUCUUGAAUAAAAAACUGGUGAGCAGUGUGAGGCAUUCUGUUGAGCAGGGGAGAGGAGACCUGAUAACAGGGAGUUGUUAGAAGGCGGGGAAAUGUCCCACUGCCUUGAGUUAGAGGUGAAAACGCAUCACUGCCACCUUUGCCCCCUGUACAUGGAGGACAAGGAGACGUCAUUUCCACCUGAUGCAGGGGACUCAAAAGCAUAGAUGGAAAACUGAAGGAUAAUUAAUGGUUUGCCCAUUUAGCUACCACGUCCUCUUCAUCACAACUUCAGUCAGAAAUGUUUGCUCCAGAAGGACAGCACAGAAAUCAUCUGAUUGCAGUAGAUAGGAAUCUCACGGAAUGUGCUGCCCCAUAAUUAAGUGCAUGUUUUUUUCCCUCUCUGAAAUAAUGCAACGUCCUUCAGAUACAGUUUUGCUUUCCUCUGUCCCUGCCCAAGGAGAGGUGCAGGCAUUUCCACUCACCUGGAAGGAAGGUGGCUUUAGGUGUGUGUGAAGCCCAGAGGGGAGAAACAGGAGCCCACUGGGAGUUGCUUAGGGCGCUCUGCUCUACCAGGCUGAGCUGAAAGGCACUUCUCAAAAGCAUUUGCAUUUCUGAAAGCACACGGAUCAAUCUGUGAGCUGCUGUCUGCUAAAGCACCAGACUUUUCAGAGCAGCGUGCCCAGAAGCGCUGGUAUUUGUGCUGAAAAUGUAAGUGUUCAUACAUGGCACUGCUUGCACUUCUCUCUCUUUAGUUGGGAUGUAAAAAAAAAAAAAAAAAAUACCAUUCUGCCUUUUCUAUUUUACCCAGAGAUCAAAUGUGGUAUCUUGCAACACUGUCACAGAGCCACAUGGAUAGGUGUUCCUCCCGACAGCUGCUCCUGUUGGAGGUAGCAGCUCCCAUGUAGCUGCUUCUGCACGUGGAAACUGCAGUGACAGACAACAAAACCAGGAUGACUUUUAGGCCCAGUAUUUUUAUUGCUGGGCUGGCAGCUGUAACUGCUCCCAGAGUCUGGCUUGCAGGAGAUGUCCUGGAAGCUCUUUGUGCAAUGCACGGAAUAACACAAGCGAGCAAGGCAAAACCAAAAGCAGGAUGCAGCAGUACUGAUGCCACUGAAAGCUUACACAGAGGUGAGAGUCAUUACGGCUUGUGGUCAAAGUUGUUUAUUUUUUUCUUGUCACAGGAUGUCAGACAAUACGAGGCCUUUUAGCAGCAUUUCAGACUUUUUGCUUUCCUUUCGAGUCAACAGAAACUCAGCUGCCUGAAGGUGGGUGAGGCCAAACAGCAGCACAAACCUUCCUCUGGAGGAAGGGACCCGAUCCCACUAACCUGCUCCACUGAGGUGCUGUGCAGCUUCAAUGCCAAGACACUGAUUUGAUAACUGUGGUUUCUUCUUACUGACCUGGCUGGGAAAAGCUGCCUUGUUGCUCAACAGCACUUUGUCUUCAUGAUUUAUAUGUUGCUUGACACAGCUAAGCAUGAUGCUGCAGUGUGAGAACUGCUUGCUGGCCGGCCGGCUGCAUGAGCUUCUCCACAGAAAGGUCUGUGCUGCGAACUGCUUUACUACCAACUGGGGCUUCUGCAAGAAAAGAAUGCAUCAGAAACACAAGAAUGUGUACGUUUGUUGUCAUGUUCCAUUCAAAAUAUGUAAAAGGAAAAAAAACUGUAAUUAACGUUGCAUUUAAGCCUGCUUGACUGUACUAAGCAUGACCUACAAGCCCAAGGAAUGCUACUGAGAUUUCCCUGAAAAAUGUUGAAACCGUUUAUUUGCCUGCUGAAUGGACUGAUUUUGAGAUAUGAGCAUGCUUUCCAUCGAAGAACAUCCUGAAAUUAAUUUCAGUUAAUGCCAUUUAUAUUACUCACUCUUCCCUGUUGAACUGGGCGUCCUGGAUUUCAACAUAUGCUGCUGUGCUGUGUAUUCCAGCUGUGACUGCAGCAGUGCUAAAUGUGUCUGCUUGAUGGAGAGCAUUAGCAGAACUCGGAUGUAGUCCAUCUAUUAGAUGGUUCUCCAGGAGGUGACAUUUCUGCACAGCUCAUCAGUGACAUCCCCUAUUCCCUCUCUUGGCCACAUUUGCAAGCUUCCAAACGUGUUUGUGAAUGUGACCAAAUUCUGGCCCUCGAGAUCAAAGGUCUGUCCACAUCUCUCUCUGGCACUACAGAUCUGGGAUGCUGCAAGCCAGUAUUCAAGAAUCCUGUCAAACUUGAGCAUAUCUGUGAUUUAUAAUGUAGAAAACCAUGUAGACUCUCAUCAUACACUUAGUACUCAACAGUCUACAGAAGCAGAACCUACCAAGAAAGCAAAUGUCAAAAAAGCAGCGUGAGCAAAGUUAAGAAUCUUCCACGUAAGGGGAUAUGUUUCUGGCUUGGAGCCAACCGGGGAGAAGAAGAAAUUCCUAAAUAUAGGAGCCCGGAAGGUGUGAAAGAACUGUUGGAUGCUGAAGUAUGUCAGGGACAAGAUUGGUGAUGAGUAAGAGCUUCCGCUGCUGGAAGCGGAGCGUGCUGGCAGGUAGCAGACUCCGUGAUCUUCUGAACAAGGAACAAAUCCUUGCUGAUCCUCCCCUAGUUGUGACACUUACAAGCUAUCUGCCACAAAAGCUUUAAGAAUGCAGAAUGGAUUUCUCUACGGUCAUGAUCCGAAGGGAAUUUUAUCAGGGAGUUUCUGGGUUUGUUAUGGAGCAAAAGAAUGUAUUUGUUCUUCUGUUGUACUGCACUUCUGCACUGAGAAUGAAGAGACUCAGUCCUGCUAAUAGACUGAGAAAAGAGAUUAAGCAUACAAGCUAAGGAUUCUGCAUAUUGAAAUACAGUAAAUCUGAAAAAUACUGGAAGACAUUGGUGGUUUGCUGGAGGUAAGGUUUAAUUUUGCACUGAAAAUACGGUAUUAUGGUAUGUAUUCUGCCCUAAAUCAUAGCAUUAGGCCUGGGAGUAUUAAACCAUUUUUUGGGAACUUACAGAUAGCAAUUUAUAAUUAGGGAUGAAUUAAAGAAGUCUAAUAGAGUACACAGAGAAACCCUGAAUGUAAAGUAAUAGGUUUUGGGGUUGUUGCCACAUUGUACUUUAAAUCCCUGCCAGAUAGUUUUGACUCGUAUUUUAACAUGAUUUGUUUGGAAAUAAACCAGAAAUUAGCAACACACUGCCAGGCUAUGCAGUAUUUCAGUCUGAAUGGUGUCCACUUACUUACAUUCUAACUUACAAUUUUCAUGUGGUCCUUUUCCUCAGAGUCAUGAACUAACGACUAAUUCACACCAUUAGCAUGUUGCCACUGCAAACUGGCAAUAAGAAGAAAAAAGAGGAAAAAUGCAGUGUGUAAAGAGCUUGCUCACUCGUCAGAGUUUUCAAUAUGAACAAUAUGCAACACCAAAUGUUCUGUGGUACAUCUUCACAAGUCUUAGAAAUGGGAGGCUUUGUAACAGCGUGCCUCCAUCCCUUUCUAGGAAGGGAAAGAACAACGCCAUUUUAUGCUUUAACAAGCUGUCAUAAUGGGUAAUGACUUCAUAAGAGCAUAUAGAGGAAGUGGAAUACGUACAUUUAAUCAAAUAAAAUUAGUGACUGUAUUUAGCUAUUCAGUGUAGUGCCUUCACGAAGGAUAGCGCUCAAUGGUGAGUCACACAAAUCCCAUGAAUGCUGUUGGCCGUGGGUACAGUAGAUACAGUGGGCUUGGUGAGUUCAUAAGAAGCCUCACAUUUUGCUCAUCAUUUAAGAUGAUGGGAGAGGAGGAACAAUUUUUUAGCAUCUUCAUCCUUCACCUCUAUGCAAAUUUACAAUUCAGCUGCACAUUUCCUAGCACUGAGAUGGGAAUGGCUUUGAAGGCCUACAUAGAAAGUGUCCUUCCUCGAAUAGAGUACCAUCUAACUUAAUGACAAACAUAUACAAAAAUGUAGAGUGCCUGUUUUAGUAAAAACACACUAUUUUUAAUGCAGAUCUUUGGCCAACUGAUCGGACCUCCAUCUAACUUCCUGAGGACAAUAUUCUUCUCAGGAGCUAUAUUAUUGUCUCUCAGGUUACCUGUCUAUUUCACUAGUGUAAGCUCCUCAGCAAUUUGGGCUGCAUCAUUUCCACAAUGCUUGCAACAGUUUGACCUACCAUCAUUUAUGCAAAAAGAUGUGCUUGAGCACUGGACUACAUCACAGAAAUCUGCAUUUUGUUCUUCCAUCUGCAGGUCACCUGGACAGGUACCUGGCAAGGCUAUCUCCCUGUGCCUCAGCUGCUUCACCUGCAAAGUGGGGAUAAUGACAUUCAGUCGCUUUUUAAAACCAUUUUAAGGUAUACAUAAUUAAUUGCUUAGCAGUGUGGAUUCUCCCUGGGGGAUAUCAUGCAGCUGCCAAUAAAUUGACUCAUCCACUUUCCUAUUACCGUUUUUAUUUAAACAUUCACUAUUUUUUUUUCCUGUGACAUAGCAAAACACCCAUUUUGCCAAACAGCAAUUGCAAGGAAGAUUUUAUCCAGCACAAGAGUAAUUAGAAUCGUGGAGAAGUGAUGAGAUUGCCAUCAGCUCUGAGCUUAAGGGACUGUCCUGUAUUUUAAGUUCAAGAAAUCCAAGCAGCAAAAAGAGUUUCCAGUUCAAGUCUGCCCUCCGCUGGCAUUAAUGAAACACUGCUAAUGAAUUUUGAAUCAAUAUUGUCUUUGUGUAACAAAGGAGGGGAACUAAAUCCAUAGAGGCUGACACAGAUGACACCUUUAGAUAACUUUAUUUUUUUUCAUUUUUUAUAAUAAAGACUUUGUAAAUAUCUUCUUUUAAAGGCUCAUGUAGGCUCACUGCCUGAUUCCUAUUCUUCAGGCUUUUGAAAGCCUGCCAGCAUUUCAUUCCCAUCAGACAGCUGCCAAAACUAACAUACACGCGAGAAGUAAUUUUCUGCACAUGUUUUUUAAGGGAUUUAAUAGAAAAGCUGCAGAAAAAUACUAUGCUAUGAUACAAUUAACAAUUCUAAUAUACUGUGCUAUACAUGUCAGCCCAGUAAUAACGUCAUAAAAGAGACCAGUGUCAGUCUAGUCUAGCAUUCUCUCACUACAAGCAAGUUUUCCUUCUGAUAUGUCAAAGACCAACUUGUUUAUUUUAGAGAGAACUUUCCAUCACAGAUCCCACAUGCAAUUAACAUGUCUCUUCACUCAGGAGGACUCAUUUUCUAUAUUUCAAGCAGGAAGGUAAUUGGAAAAUGAUACUUACUCACACGGAUUCACGUAGUACGAUUUCAAUCCCAAAGUGGCAUUUGUGUCUGGAAUAUAAAAUUUGUACUGCGAUGAAUUGGGAGAUAAGGCACCUCUGCUUCAUUUUUCUUGUCAUCCUCACGCUUCGUUAUGCUUAACUGCAUUUAAUCUCCUGCGACUGCUACUUAAGCCUAAAACGAAGGAGUAAAAUGCAAUUUUGUUGGAUGUACAGCUAAUGCACACUCGAAUAAAUGUGAAGAAAAAAUGUAUUAGAGAACAAUAAUUUUAUUUUGGCCCUUUGAAAGCCUGAAAAUCAGGCUCAGAUUUGUAGUCUGUGCCAAGUAUGACUAACAGACUUCAUAAUGCAGAGCACAAGGAAUUUUCAAAAGUUGCUUGAACGUCCUAUCCAUCUGAUAAAAUUACUGCAGAAAUGACUAUGUGACUAUGAUUGAAAAUAAAAACUUCAGGAGUACAUAUAACAUUCCAUAAGAAGCAGUGAAAGGCACACAGCAAAUCUGUUGUUACCUC
ensembl:lncRNA